rnacentral:rRNA from 1 species
AGAGUUUGAUUCUGGCUCAGGAUGAACGCUAGCGACAGGCUUAACACAUGCAAGUCGAGGGGCAGCAUAGAAGUAGCAAUACUUGGUGGCGACCGGCGCACGGGUGAGUAACGCGUAUGCAACCUACCUAUCAGAGGGGAAUAACCCGGCGAAAGUCGGACUAAUACCGCAUAAAACAGGGGCACCGCAUGGUGAUAUUUGUUAAAGAAAUUCGCUGAUAGAUGGGCAUGCGUUCCAUUAGGUAGUUGGUGAGGUAACGGCUCACCAAGCCGACGAUGGAUAGGGGAACUGAGAGGUUGGUCCCCCACACUGGUACUGAGACACGGACCAGACUCCUACGGGAGGCAGCAGUGAGGAAUAUUGGUCAAUGGGCGGGAGCCUGAACCAGCCAAGUCGCCGUGAAGGAAGAAGGAUCUAUGGUUCGUAAACUUCUUUUGCAGGGGAAUAAAGUGCAGGACGUGUCCUGUUUUGUAUGUACCCUGAGAAUAAGGAUCGGCUAACUCCGUGCCAGCCGCGGC